rnacentral:rRNA from 1 species
UAACAAGGAUUCCCCUAGUAACGGCGAGCGAAGCGGGAAGAGCUCAAAUUUGAAAGCUGGCACCUCCGGUGUCCGCGUUGUAAUCUCGAGACGUGUUUUCCGUGCGGCUCUACGGACAAGUCCCUUGGAAUAGGGCAUCGUAGAGGGUGAGAAUCCCGUACUUGCCAUGGAAGAACCGUGCUUUGCGAUACACGCUCUAAGAGUCGAGUUGUUUGGGAUUGCAGCUCAAAAUGGGUGGUAGACUCCAUCUAAAGCUAAAUAUCGGGGAGAGACCGAUAGCGAACAAGUACCGUGAGGGAAAGAUGAAAAGCACUUUGGAAAGAGAGUUAAAAGUACGUGAAAUUGUCGAAAGGGAAGCACUUGAAGUCAGCCAUGCUGCUUGAGACUCAGCCUGGCCUUUGGGCUUGGUGUAUUUCUCGGUGGCAAGCCAGCAUUGGUUUGGGUCGUCGGAGAAGCGCAUAGGGAAUGUAGCGUCUCCGGACGUGUUAUAGCCUUAUGCAGGAUACGACGACCUGGAUCAAGGAACGCAGUGUGCCCUCUGGGCGGGUCUUCGGACACCUUCACACUUAGGAUGCUGGCGUAAU